rnacentral:misc_RNA from 1 species
GAUGAAGAACGCAGCGAAAUGCGAUAAGUAAUGAGAAUUGCAGAAUUCAGUGGAUCAUCGAAUCUUUGAACGCACAUUGCGCCCCUUGGUAUUCCAUGGGGCAUGCCUGUUCGAGCGUCAUUUGUACCUUCAAGCUCUGCUUGGUGUUGGGUGUUUGUCUCGCCUCUGCGUGUAGACUCGCCUCAAAACAAUUGGCAGCCGGCGUAUUGAUUUCGGAGCGCAGUACAUCUCGCGCUUUGCACUCAUAACGACGACGUCCAAAAGUACAUUUUUACACUCUUGACCUCGGAUCAGGUAGGGAUACCCGCUGAACUUAAGCAUAUCAAUAAGCGGAGGA